rnacentral:lncRNA from 1 species
AGUUGGUGGCAAGGCCCUUAGUUCAGUGGGCCCCCAGACAGAACUGGGCUUAGCUGUCUCACAGAUGCUCCUCUCCUUAUCCUUUAGGUGAGAGAAGUGACUCUGAAAAGUCUGCUUCAAAAGGACCCAACAUUUGCUGGCACACUGGCAGGCACCUGUAAUCCCAGCAACUCCAGAGGCUGAAACGAGAGGAUCCCUUGAGCCUGGAAGUUUGAGGCUGCAAUAAGCUAUGAUGGUGUCACUGCACUCCAGCAUGGGUGAUAGGAUGAUGGGUAAAGAAAAGCCUGUGCCAUCUCCUGCUUCCUAUUCUCUUGUAGGAAACAUGGCUUCAGAGACAGAGGCAUUAGUUUCUUGGGUGUUGUGAUGAGAAGAGCUCUACUCCUUCCCUUCUGCUUGUGUGCC